rnacentral:tRNA from 1 species
UAUAUUUUAGUAUAAGAUGUACAAUAGUUUUUGAUAUUAUAAGAAAUAGUUUGAUUCUAUUAAAUAUAA